AGGACGAACGCUGGCGGCGUGCUUAACACAUGCAAGUCGAGCGGAAAGGCCCUUCGGGGUACUCGAGCGGCGAACGGGUGAGUAACACGUGAGCAACCUGCCCUUAGCUUCGGGAUAGCUCCGGGAAACCGGAAUUAAUACCGAAUAUGAUUUUUGCUGACAUCAGCAGAAGUGGAAAGUUUUUCGGCUAGGGAUGGACUCGCGGCCUAUCAGCUAGUUGGUGAGGUAACGGCCCACCAAGGCGACGACGGGUAGCCGGCCUGAGAGGGCGACCGGCCACACUGGGACUGAGACACGGCCCAGACUCCUACGGGAGGCAGCAGUGGGGAAUAUUGCGCAAUGGGCGAAAGCCUGACGCAGCGACGCCGCGUGGGGGAUGAAUGCCGUUCGGGUUGUAAACCCCUUUCAGCAGGGACGAAGCGAAAGUGACGGUACCUGCAGAAGAAGCGCCGGCUAACGUACGUGCCAGCAGCCGC
rnacentral:rRNA from 1 species